rnacentral:hammerhead_ribozyme from 1 species
AUCCAGCUGAUGAGUCCCAACGAGGACGAAACGCAAGUCAAACUAGAU